UACGAGUUUGAUCAUGGCUCAGGAUGAACGCUAGCGGCAGGCUUAAUACAUGCAAGUCGAGGGGCAGCACGGGUAGCAAUACCUGGUGGCGACCGGCAAACGGGUGCGGAACACGUACGCAACCUUCCCAUAACUGGUGAAUAGCCCUCCGAAAGGAGGAUUAAUACACCGUAACUUAACGAAGUGGCAUCACUUUGUUAAUAUAGGCUUCGGCCGGUUUUGGAUGGGCGUGCGCCUGAUUAGGUAGUUGGCGGGGUAACGGCCCACCAAGCCUGCGAUCAGUAACUGGUGUGAGAGCACGACCAGUCACACGGGCACUGAGACACGGGCCCGACUCCUACGGGAGGCAGCAGUAAGGAAUAUUGGUCAAUGGACGAAAGUCUGAACCAGCCAUGCCGCGUGAAGGAUUAAGGCCCUCUGGGUUGUAAACUUCUUUUAUCUGGGACGAAAAAAGGGUAUUCUUACUCACUUGACGGUACCAGAGGAAUAAGCACCGGCUAACUCCGUG
rnacentral:rRNA from 1 species